UAAAAAUCGCUUAAUUUAUCUGAUAAAGCGGGGGACCCAUUUUUUUGGGGCGUAUUUCUCUUUUGAGAAUAGGAUAACUCAUUCAAUCCGAGCCCGUCAGCUAACCUCGUCAGCGUUGAUUG
rnacentral:sRNA from 1 species